GAGAAGAAGAAAAAAACGAAAAA
rnacentral:sRNA from 1 species